AUUGAACGCUGGCGGCAGGCCUAACACAUGCAAGUCGAGCGGGAGGCGGACGGGUGAGGAAUAUGUGUGAAACUGCCUGAGGGAGAGGGAGAACAACAGGAGACGGUAUCUAAUACAGCAUCCACUCUGAGGUGCCCCGAUGGGGUUAGCUAGUAGGUGGGGGAACGGCUCAACUAGGCGACGAUCCCUAGCUGGUCUGAGAGGAUGACCAGCCACACUGGAACUGAGACACGGUCCAGACUCCUACGGUAGGCAGCAGUGGGGAAUAUUGCACAAUGGGCGCAAGCCUGAUGCAGCCAUGCCGCGUGUGUGAAGAAGGCCUUCGGGUUGUAAAGCACUUUCAGCGGGGAGGCGUUACCCGCAGAAGAAGCACCGGCUAACUCCGUGCCAGCAGCCGCGGUAAUAC
rnacentral:rRNA from 1 species